AAUGAACGUUGGCGGCGUGGAUUAGGCAUGCAAGUCGAGCGAGAAGCUUUCCUUCGGGAGAGCGGACAGCGGCGAACGGGAGAGUAACGAGUGGAGAACCUACCCUAAGACCCGGGAUAGCCGAGGGAAACCGCGGGUAAUACCGGAUAAUGUCUCCGGACCAAAGGUGUGAUUCCGUCUUGGGACGGCUCCGCUUCCUAUUAGCUUGUUGGCGAGGUAACGGCUCACCAAGGCGACGAUGGGUACCGGGUGUGAGAGCAUGACCCGGCUCACUGGGACUGAGACACUGCCCGGACACCUACGGGUGGCUGCAGUCGAGAAUCUUCGGCAAUGGGCGCAAGCCCGACCGAGCGACGCCGCGUGCGGGAUAAAGGCCUUCGGGUUGUAAACCGCUGUCAGAGGGGAUGAAAUGCCAGUUGGUUAUCUUUCUGGUUUGACAUAUCCCCGGAGGAAGGACGGGCUAAGUUCGUGCCAGCCGCCGCAGUAACAC
rnacentral:rRNA from 1 species